rnacentral:rRNA from 1 species
UACGUAGGGUGCGAGCGUUGUCCGGAAUCAUUGGGCGUAAAGCGCGCGUAGGUGGCCACAUAAGUCCGUUGUGAAAGUCAAAGGCUCAACCUUUGAAAGCCGAUGGAUACUGUGUGGCUAGAGUACGGAAGAGGCGAGUGGAAUUCCUGGUGUAGCGGUGGAAUGCGCAGAUAUCAGGAGGAACACCAAUAGCGAAGGCAGCUCGCUGGGACGUUACUGACACUGAGGCGCGAAAGCGUGGGGAGCGAACAGG